AUUGAACGCUGGCGGUAUGCUUAACACAUGCAAGUCGAACGGCAGCACAGUAUGUAGCAAUACAUAUGGGUGGCGAGUGGCGGACGGGUGAGUAACGCGUAGGAAUCUACCCUAAAGCGGGGGACAACCCGAGGAAACUCGGGCUAAUACCGCAUAAUCUCGAAAGAGUAAAGCUGGUGCAACCUGACACUUUAGGGGGAGCCGGCGUCCGAUUAGCUAGUUGGUGAGGUAAAGGCUCACCAAGGCGAUGAUCAGUAGCUGGUCUGAGAGGAUGAUCAGCCACACUGGGACUGAGACACGGCCCAGACUCCUACGGGAGGCAGCAGUGGGGAAUAUUGGACAAUGGGGGCAACCCUGAUCCAGCAAUACCGCGUGUGUGAAGAAGGCCUUAGGGUUGUAAAGCACUUUAGUUGGGGAAGAAGGAUAGUUGUUUAAGAGAUGAUUAUUUUGACGGUACCCAAAGAAUAAGCACCGGCUAACUCUGUGCCAGCAGCCGCGGUAA
rnacentral:rRNA from 1 species